rnacentral:rRNA from 1 species
AUUGAACGCUGGCGGCAGGCCUAACACAUGCAAGUCGAACGGCAGCGGGGGGUAGCUUGCUACCCCGCCGGCGAGUGGCGGACGGGUGAGUAAUGCCUGGGGAGCUGCCCAAUCGAGGGGGAUACCAGUUGGAAACGACUGCUAAUACCGCAUACGCCCUGAGGGGGAAAGGUGGGGAUCUUCGGACCUAUCGCGAUUGGAUGCACCCAGGUGGGAUUAGCUAGUUGGUGAGGUAACGGCUCACCAAGGCGACGAUCUCUAGCUGGUCUGAGAGGAUGACCAGCCACACUGGAACUGAGACACGGUCCAGACUCCUACGGGAGGCAGCAGUGGGGAAUAUUGCACAAUGGGGGAAACCCUGAUGCAGCCAUGCCGCGUGUGUGAAGAAGGCCUUCGGGUUGUAAAGCACUUUCAGUGGGGAGGAAGGGGAGUAAGCUAAUAACUUGCUUCAUUGACGUUACCCACAGAAGAAGCACCGGCUAACUCCGUGCCAGCAGCCGCGGUAA